GUGUUAAGUCAUUGCUCUACUUCAUUCAUUUCAUAAUUUGUAUAGUAGCCUACUAGCUAAAGUUUUUAAGCACGAAUUUGAAUAAAAGGCAUUUGUAUUAUCGGCAUAUAAUUAAGACAAAAGAAAGAAUUUUACAGCAGUUUUCAAUGUCAUUAAAUUAACAUUAAUGUAUAUUAGAGAUAGAAGUGGUUCAAGAAAUAAGUGUAUAUAUAUAGUUAGUAUAUAUAAUGAGUAUAUAUAUUGAGUAACUACAUGUACUAGGCUACAAUACCUAUGCAUGAUUUCGGUUUGUGGAAACACCUUCACACUGAUUCCACUACAACUGGCGCUACCUAGCUUUGAUUGGGUUCAUACACAUUUGAUUGGCAAUGGGAUCUAUUAAAUUAAACGCAUCUGAUUGAUUAAUGGCAAAACCUGUUUCCACAGACCAAAAAUAUGUAUUAUAUUUUCACCAUGCAAACCUACAAAUAACUUAUUACUAGCGAAUUGCAACUGUGUAAUUACCUAAGUAAACACUACUUAGGGACGGACCAUUAGAAAAGUGAUGGGGGGGUGGGGUAAAUUUUUUUUGUUUGCAUUUUUUUUCCAGGUUGUCAGCUGUGUAUGCAUGUUUUUUUUAAAUAUGUCUUCUCGCAUGCAAUUUUUUUUCCAAUACAACUAUACAAAUGUUAACGAAACUGUUCUC